UUGGAGGGCAAGUCUGGUGCCAGCAGCCGCGGUAAUUCCAGCUCCAAUAGCGUAUAUUAAAGUUGUUGCAGUUAAAAAGCUCGUAGUUGAAUUUCGGGGUUAGUAGGCUGGUCAUGCCACAGGUAUGCACUGGCCUUACUGAUUCCUCCUUCCUGAUGAACCGUAAUGCCAUUAAUUUGGUGUUGCGGGGAGUCUGGACUGUUACUUUGAAAAUUAGAGUGUUUAAAGCAGGCUAACGCUUGAAUACAUUAGCAUGGAAUAACGAAAUAGGACGUUCGAUCUUAUUUUGUUGGUUUCUAGGAUUGACGUAAUGAUUAAUAGGGAUAGUUGGGGGCAUUAGUAUUCAAUUGUCAGAGGUGAAAUUCUUGGAUUUAUUGAAGACUAACUACUGCGAAAGCAUUUGCCAAGGAUGUUUUCAUUAAUCAAGAACGAAAGUUAGGGAAUCGAAGACGAUCAGAAACCGUCGUAGUCUUAACCAUAAACUAUGCCGACUAGGGAUCGGAUGAUGUUAAUUUUAUAGUGACUCAUUCGGCGCCUUACGGGAAAC
rnacentral:rRNA from 1 species